UUAGUGGCGGACGGGUGAGUAACGCGUGGGUAACCUGCCUCACACUGGGGGAUAACAGUUAGAAAUAGCUGCUAAUACCGCAUAAGCGCACGGUUCCGCAUGGAACAGUGUGAAAAACUCCGGUGGUGUGAGAUGGACCCGCGUCUGAUUAGCCAGUUGGCGGGGUAACGGCCCACCAAAGCGACGAUCAGUAGCCGGCCUGAGAGGGUGACCGGCCACACUGGGACUGAGACACGGCCCAGACUCCUACGGGAGGCAGCAUG
rnacentral:rRNA from 1 species